GGGUGAUUAGCUCAGCUGGGAGAGCACCUCCCUUACAAGGAGGGGGUCGGCGGUUCGAUCCCGUCAUCAUCCA
rnacentral:tRNA from 1 species